UACGUAGGGUGCAAGCGUUGUCCGGAAUUAUUGGGCGUAAAGAGCUCGUAGGCGGUUUGUCGCGUCUGCUGUGAAAACUGGGGGCUCAACCCCCAGCCUGCAGUGGGUACGGGCAGACUAGAGUGCGGUAGGGGAGAUUGGAAUUCCUGGUGUAGCGGUGGAAUGCGCAGAUAUCAGGAAGAACACCGGUGGCGAAGGCGGUGGGCUGGGCCGGCACUGACGCUGAGGAGCGAAAGCGUGGGGAGCGAACAGG
rnacentral:rRNA from 1 species